UCCAUGAACCAACUUUACAAACACUAUACCUACUGCAGAUGUUCCCAAAUAUGUACAUUUGAAACCCUUUCAGAAAAUUGACCAUCACAUAUACCUUAAUGCUAUUCUAACGUGCCUUCAUUUACAGUUCCAAUCGAACUUGUUGGUUCCAAUUCAUCUUCACUCUGGGCUAUCACAAAUCUUAUGUCUCCUGUCACAGCUCCUGGUGGCUCUGACGCCUAGUCACUCAAAUGGAUUAUGAUGACCAUCACAAGGUCAAUAGAUUGGUUUUCUCCACUUCGUAUUAUCCAAACAAAAACAAUCUGUCAGCUCAAAUCAAAACCAGCUUCAGCAUUUAUAGCGUAGAGCAAUUUUGUUUCCAGUUGCUGUUUGCUUCUAUAUGGUGGAAGCUUCAGAAGAUUCAUACAAGUAGCUGAUGUUGGCAAACGAUCAAGAGCUUCUUCAGAAGCACUGCCAGCAGCCCUCUGUAUGCAAAAUAAUGGCUCAAGGAAUUUAAAUCCAAGCAGUGGUCCUCGUGAGCAACCAGUAACAAACUUCAAAAAUUUCUUCUGUUUUUCCAAGGAAAAGCCUUUGAGAACUUCCCAGAACAUCUCAAUGACAUAAUGCUCACUGUGAUAACCUCCUGCAUAAUUGGCAUGAAGACGAAGGUCAUCAACAUCCAAGCUUUCAAGUGAACCUGAUAUCAAGAGCUGAAGUUCAUGUUCAUUGAACAUAUCAAUCCAAUCUUUCUGUAUGAGCUGCUGAAAGCCCCUCAAAAAAUGAGAACUUUGUUGGCGUAUCUGAAAAUUCAAACGAUGAUUUGAUACAAGAUGAAUAAAUGUAAUAACAUUCUCAUUAGUAACACU
rnacentral:misc_RNA from 1 species